GGGUGCUGCAGUUCCUUACAAUCAGGCAUGAUUCACUUUGGGUUAACUGCUGUAACAUCAGAUUAAAGAGCCAUCUACUACAAAAACCUCUCUUCCUCAGGUCAGCAGUGUGUGGGACACACGGCCACGUAUCAUAGUAGGAGCUGGAAGUGAAAAUGAAUAUAGGACCAGACCAUCUCCUCUGCUUCUGUGUGAGCAAAGCACAAAAGCCUCAAGGAGGCAAAGUAGGAUGUAAGAAAGGGAAGAAUAGUGCCGCCCCUUCCCUGAAACUCCAUGGAAGCACUUCUACUGGGAUCGAUGCUCCAUGGUACAAUACUCUGAGGCCGGAUGACUCCCCAGAUUGCCACUUGGAAAUUCAAGGAAAAGUAAAUGUCGCUUGAAGCAGCAUUAGCUGUUUCUGAGUCCAGAUGCCCCUACAUGGGCUGCCUGCUGGACACUAGCU